rnacentral:rRNA from 1 species
UGAGCUAGCCGGUGCCUCAGUCGCGGUAAUUACAGGUGGGCAGGAGUUCAGCGGAAUUGCUGAGCGUAAAGCGAGCGUUGGGGGUUGGUUACGUUGGAUGUGAAAUCCCCGGGCUCAACCUGGGAACUGCAUCCAAAACUAGCGAGCUAGAGUAGGUCAGAGGGUGGUGGAAUUUCCUGUGUAGCGGUGAAAUGCGUAGAUAUAGAAAGGAACACCAGUGGCGAAGGCGACCACCUGGGCUCAUACUGACACUGAGGUGCGAAAGCGUGGGGAGCAAACAGGAUUAGAUACUCGGGUAGUC